CUGGAUCCUGUAUAUUGCCACUCCAAUUUGAGGUCUAACAAUUUACUCUUAUUAUAAAUAAUGCUUGGUACACAUUAUUAUUGGCAGCAAAAGUCAAUAAAAAGAUAUAACUUCUGGUUAAAACUGUUGGUGUGAAAGUACAUUUAGCCACAAUAAAAAUAAAAGGUUCUUUUUCAGUGGCAUAAGGCAACCGGAGAAAAGGAGAGGAGGAAAGAGCAGCAUAGUUUUGGGAUGCUGGUGAGCAGAAGGUGAAUGAUGAUUAGGCUAAUAGACCUGAGAAAUCUGAAACCCAAACAAGAAGGGGGAAAAGGUAAGAAGCAACAAGAUUUGUACCAUGGAAUCUGCAAAAGGCCCAGCUCAGGAAUCAGCAGCAACAGUAACCUAUGGAAAUGAGGCUAGUGAUAUAGUUAAAAGGGUGGAUGGAGAACUUGUUUAGGAAUUGCCUCUCAGUUCUUUGUUCCCAUUCAACUCAGGUGAGAACUGCACCUCCACACCCUAGCACAAGAUGGGAAUUUUAAUCUCUAGAUAUAAAUUUAAAAAAAAAGAUUUCUAAAUGAAGGGCCCUACAUUAAAAAAAAUGGAAGCUAAGUUAAAAACAUAUACUGAAUUUUUACCUCCUAGCCUUCUUCCCGAAUCUGGCUUCUAGAACGCUCGCCUUGGUCCUCUGUUCUCCAGGAAGUAGUCCAGAGAGCCAUUUCUAGUAAAUAUGACUGCCCAGAAGAGACUUCAAUAAACUGGCACAAUUUGAGAUUCACACUUAACAUUCUCCAACUUUUCCUUAAUCUAUAAACCAAAAUUCAUAUUUUAUUCAGUGUAAGUGGAUAGCCCAGGAGCUACAGAAGUUUGAGAAAAAUAUGAAAGACAGAGGCCAAAGAAAAUAGAAAAAAAAAAAGAGUUACGGGAAACAGAAGCGCU
rnacentral:lncRNA from 1 species